rnacentral:rRNA from 1 species
GACAGAGGGUGCAAACGUUGUUCGGAAUUACUGGGCGUAAAGCGCGUGUAGGCUGUCUCGAAAGUCGGAUGUGAAAGCCCUGGGCUCAACCUAGGAAGUGCAUUCGAAACUUCGAAGACUCGAGUCCUGGAGAGGAUCGCGGAAUUCUCGGUGUAGAGGUGAAAUUCGUAGAUAUCGAGAGGAACACCGGUGGCGAAGGCGGCGAAUCUGGACAGUGGACUGACGCUGAGACGCGAAAGCGUGGGGAGCAAAGCAGGG